rnacentral:rRNA from 1 species
GACGAACGCUGGCGGCGUGCCUAAUACAUGCAAGUCGAGCGAAUCUUUAGGAGCUUGCUUCUAAAGGUUAGCGGCGGACGGGUGAGUAACACGUGGGCAACCUGCCUGUAAGACUGGGAUAACUUCGGGAAACCGGAGCUAAUACCGGAUAAUCCUUUCCCUCUCAUGAGGGAAAGCUGAAAGACGGUUUCGGCUGUCACUUACAGAUGGGCCCGCGGCGCAUUAGCUAGUUGGUGAGGUAACGGCUCACCAAGGCGACGAUGCGUAGCCGACCUGAGAGGGUGAUCGGCCACACUGGGACUGAGACACGGCCCAGACUCCUACGGGAGGCAGCAGUAGGGAAUCUUCCGCAAUGGACGAAAGUCUGACGGAGCAACGCCGCGUGAGCGAUGAAGGCCUUCGGGUCGUAAAGCUCUGUUGUUAGGGAAGAACAAGUAUCGGAGUAACUGCCGGUACCUUGACGGUACCUAACCAGAAAGCCACGGCUAACUACGUGCCAGCAGCCGCGGUAAUACGUAGGUGGCAAGCGUUGUCCGGAAUUAUUGGGCGUAAAGCGCGCGCAGGCGGUCCUUUAAGUCUGAUGUGAAAGCCCACGGCUCAACCGUGGAGGGUCAUUGGAAACUGGGGGACUUGAGUGCAGAAGAGGAAAGCGGAAUUCCACGUGUAGCGGUGAAAUGCGUAGAGAUG